rnacentral:rRNA from 1 species
AAAUUGAAGAGUUUGAUCAUGGCUCAGAUUGAACGCUGGCGGCAGGCCUAACACAUGCAAGUCGAACGGUAACAGGAAGCAGCUUGCUGCUUCGCUGACGAGUGGCGGACGGGUGAGUAAUGUCUGGGAAACUGCCUGAUGGAGGGGGAUAACUACUGGAAACGGUAGCUAAUACCGCAUAAUGUCGCAAGACCAAAGAGGGGGACCUUCGGGCCUCUUGUCAUCGGAUGUGCCCAGAUGGGAUUAGCUUGUUGGUGGGGUAACGGCUCACCAAGGCGACGAUCCCUAGCUGGUCUGAGAGGAUGACCAGCCACACUGGAACUGAGACACGGUCCAGACUCCUACGGGAGGCAGCAGUGGGGAAUAUUGCACAAUGGGCGCAAGCCUGAUGCAGCCAUGCCGCGUGUAUGAAGAAGGCCUUCGGGUUGUAAAGUACUUUCAGCGGGGAGGAA